GACGAACGCUGGCGGCGUGCUUAACACAUGCAAGUCGAACGGAAAGGCCCUGCUUGCCGGGUACUCGAGUGGCGAACGGGUGAGUAACACGUGGGUGAUCUGCCCUGCACUUCGGGAUAAGCCUGGGAAACUGGGUCUAAUACCGGAUAGAAGCCAUCUUUAGUGUGAUUGUUGGAAAGUUUUUUCGGUGUAGGAUGAGCUCGCGGGCUAUCAGCUGGUUGGGGGGGUAAUGGCCUACUAAGGCGGCGACGGGCUGCCGGCCUGGGAGGGUGGACGGCCACAUUGGGACUGAGGGACGGCCCAGACUCCUACGGGAGGCAGCAGUGGGGAAUAUUGCACAAUGGGCGCAAGCCUGAUGCAGAGGCGCCGCGUGGGGGAUGACGGCCUUCGGGUUGAAAACUCCUUUCGCUAGGGACGAAGCUUUUUGUGACGGUACCUAGAUAAGAAGCACCGGCUAACUACGUG
rnacentral:rRNA from 1 species